GCACCACAAGAGGUGGGACCUGCGGUUCAAUUGGAUUCAACGCCGGAAAACUCACCAGGGGCGACAGUUGGAUGAAAGCCAGGUUGACGAUCUUGCAAGACUAGCUGAGAGGUGGUGCAUGGCCAUCGUCAGCUCGUACCGUGAGGCGUCCUGUUAAGUCAGGCAACGAGCGAGAUCCUCGCCCUUAGUUGCCAUCGGUGGAAAGCCGGGCACUCUAAGGGGACCGCUGGCGCUAAGUCAGAGGAAGGAGAGGGCGACGGUAGGUCAGUAUGCCCCGAAUCCCCUGGGCUACACGCGGGUCACAAUGCGCAGGACAAUGAGAUGCAACCCCGUAAGGGGAAGCCAAACCCUUAAACCUGCGCUCGGUUCGGAUCGAGGGCUGUAACUCGCCCUCGUGAAGCUGGAAUCUCUAGUAAUCGCGUGCCAACACCGCGCGGUGAAUGCGUCCCUGCUCCUUGCACACACCGCCCGUCAAGCCACUCGAGUAGGGUCUGGAUGAGGCUAGUUCAAGUUGGGCUGUUCGAAUCCGGGUUUUGCAAGAGGGCUU
rnacentral:rRNA from 1 species